rnacentral:lncRNA from 1 species
GGAAAAUGGAAAAAACAAGAACAAUCCCACUCUAUUGAACAAAUUGCUGUCCCAUGAAAGCAAAUGUUAAACAUUUCCUACAGUUACGUGUGCAAACAUUCCAAUUUAUAAGAAAAGAUUUUUCCCAAAGGGAUAUGCUGACCUUUCCAAGUUGAGCUGUUCAGAAAAGAGGGAAAAAAAUGCAAUGCACUCAGAUGCCAAGCGUUUCUGACAUUUGUGGCAGAAGAAAAAGGAAGUCUGUGAUUUGCAUUUAUCAUUUGCCCUGCCUAAGUAGUGGUUGGGUCUGAUAUGUCUUCCUCUUGAGGGUUUUUCAUUUUGAAAGAUUUGGGGUAGUUUCCCAUUUCCAUUUUGGGUCAGUGAGCACUUGAAAAAAUUUUAUUUCCUUCCAAUCUUGCCGGCAAAAUGUGCACAAUGAGGCAGUAGCCUAGGAAAUUAAUAGUUUAUAACAAAUCUUGAAAGAAUGUCAUCAGACUCUCAAUUGUCCUGAACAAAAACAAUUAGAAAGUCCAAAUAGAAUAAAACAGGCUUGUAUCAGGUAAUUAUUUUAAACCCACUGGAUGUACUGCUGUGCACUGAUUUUCCCACAAUCAUAAUGAUUGUUAUAAUGGUUACAAUAACUUCAAAGAAUUUUAAAAUUUAAAAAAGGUUUAAGUGCUACUUAGAAGAGUUUUUGUUAGAAGAUUGAAAUAUUUUUAGUAGCAUUCAAGUUUGUUAAAAGAUGUACAACUUUAACGUGUAUUUUAGACAUUUAAAAACUCCAAUAUAUAAAACACAUACAAAUGAGCAUACAGGCUGGAAGCCCUGCCACUGACCUCCCCCUACCCCCUGCGCGGGUCCUGGUAUUACUUCUGAGAAUGACUUGCAUGUCAUUUCCCUAUAUACCAGGUUCUUUGAAAACUUUCAGUUCAUGUAAGAUCUCAUAUAUGAAAACUGUUAAUUGAAAUACUGCUCUGGUUAAUGCUGAAGAUAUGUUUCUCUAUUGCCCUAAAUAAGGAAUGCUUAACAGAAUUGUUUUCUAAACCUUUGUUACAAAAUUUGUCUGCCAGUGCUCUAUUGGUUUAACUAUGAAGAGGACCUCAUUCUCUAUCCCUCAGAUUAUAGAAGCCAUGUUAGUAUCUGGGACUAUCAUGAUACAUAU